rnacentral:rRNA from 1 species
GUGAGGAAUAUUGCGCAAUGGAGGCAACUCUGACGCAGCCAUGCCGCGUGCAGGAAGAAGGCGCUACGCGUUGUAAACUGCUUUUAACCGGGAAGAAACCCCAGGACGUGUCCUGGGUUGACGGUACCGGAGGAAUAAGCACCGGCUAACUUCGUGCCAGCAGCCGCGGUAAUACGAAGGGUGCAAGCGUUAUCCGGAUUCAUUGGGUUUAAAGGGUGCGUAGGCGGAGCGUUAAGUCAGUGAUGAAAUCCUGCAGCUUAACUGUAGACUUGCCAUUGAUACUGGCGCUCUUGAGUGCGCUUGAAGUGGGCGGAAUGUGCCGUGUAGCGGUGAAAUGCUUAGAUAUGGCACAGAACACCAAUUGCGAAGGCAGCUCACUAAGGCGAUACUGACGCUGAGGCACGAAAGCGUGGGGAUCGAACAGGAUUAGAUACCCCAGUAGUCC